CAUCUUUUUUUUCGUCCUUGAAUUUUCAACCCUUAAUAAAAAAUAAACUAGAGUUGAUCAAAAUCUGAAACCAAGUGAUCAAUGCUGUACAAACCGUGAGCAAAAGGAUGGUAUAAUUAUUUUUACGAAAUUCGAUCAAUGAGGUGCUAACAUCUCAUAACCCUUAAUUUCCCGACUCUGCACCCCCCACUACUGUUUAUAUGUGAACGUAUUUAAAGAAUGGCGGGAAGUUUGAAAAUGGCCAUGACCAACCAGCCAGAGCAAUGAGCAAUCUAACCUUACAUUUUCAUUUAUGAAAGUGUUUUGUUAUUGUUUUUGUAUUAGUGAAUUAUUUUAAUUUUAUCAAAUUUGCGUUUUAUAUUAAUAAAAUGUAUCCUUAGAAUUUGAUAACAAUUUAGUGAUGAUGAAAGAAUAAUAUAUUUUUUAAAUAACGCUUGAGCCUGUACCAUACGAGAACGAAAAAAGUUAUGGAAGAAUUUGAUGAUAUAUAACAAAUUUUUAUUAAGGUUUAUAGUUUCCAUAAAAAUACUGUGAGAUAAUUUAUACAAGAGCUGGUUCCUGGUUUCCAUUAUGUAAUUCUUCAGUAGGUAUGAUGAGCCUAAUAUCACAGAUCAAGUUUUAAUAACUUAUAUUAUGAGUUGUUUUUAUUUAUUGUAUGGUUUUGGUGGUAUACCUAUACAAAACAUAACUACUGAAAGAUUUAUAAAAACCCAUGAAGUACUGGCAGAUAAUGUAGUUGUUGAUAUUGAUAGCGAAUGUGUUAACACAGAAGAUAUUCCAUUUAUGAGUACUAAUCUAUGAACAUGCUAUAAAAUACUAUAAAAUUUAACAUUUAUAAUAAAUAUUUAAACCUUU